GCCUGAAAUGGGCAUUCCCCUUUGCAUUCUUGGUUUUUAGAACAACUGCAGCUGUUUGUAAAUAUUCAUGGUAAGGUGUCAGGGUCACUGAAGUAAGAAACCUAUCUAUGGUCAAGGUAAGGUCACAAAUCACCUGAUAUUUAAAUGUGUCUUGCCACACCGCCAUGAUCAUUGGGUCCAUUUUGAAGAACAAUAUUGUAUUCAGGUAUAUUGAAGGGACUGUUUUCUCUCAGCCAUGUUUCAUUUAAAAAUUCAAUAAUCAGGACAGUCCCGGGAGACGGCUAGAUGUCCCCCAACACAGUUAAUGCUUACUAAAAUGUCAGACACACACUCUUUGUAAUGGUGAACUCCUGCAUUAUAUAAACACAUUUGCUUACUGCGACAUACUUUAUCGAAAUGAUUAAAUUUGAAACAUUUGAACCACUGUAUUAGAGGUGAAAUAUAUGUCUGUACUUCGCAGCUAAACAAGUUGAGAUACAAAUAAGGGGGUAAUGUAGUUGUAGAAAAAGUUAUAGCGACAGAGCUCAUAGGUAUUAACUUCUUGUCUGCAUUUCUUUUCAUAAACCUCUUAACAGAUAUUAUUUCAGCAUCGCUACUAAUAUUUUUAUAGAUGUCUUCGUUGGAUAAGUCUGUAGGCACAAAUUUAAUCACACCCACCUUCUCUACUAAGUGGGCAGGUAUAAAGGCGCGAAAUUUGUGCUUGCUGAGAAAGUUGUCAAGUUUGUUAAAGCUAUUAGCAUCUGCAGCUUUUUGGAAAUUCACACCAAUUUUAUAUGCAUUAAUACGUGAAACACAUGUAAUGCUUUUGACAUUUUCAUUUAAUAAACCUGUUAAUUUUA